rnacentral:tRNA from 1 species
GCCUGGCUGGUUCUGUCGGUACAGCACCCAGACUCUUAAUCUUGGGGUUGUGAGUUCAAGCCCCACGCUGGGUG